rnacentral:rRNA from 1 species
AUUGACCGCUGGCGGCAGGCCUAACACAUGCAAGUCGAACGAGUGGCGGACGGGUGAGUAAUGUCUGGGAAACUGCCUGAUGGAGGGGGAUCACUAUUGGAAACGGUAGCUAAUACCGCAUACUAUCAGAUGUGCCUACGUGGGAUUAGCUAGUUGGUGGGGUAAAGGCCUACCAAGGCGAUGAUCCGUAACUGGUCUGAGAGGAUGAUCAGACGCACUGGAGCUGAGACACGGUCCAGAAUCCUACGGGAGGCAGCAGUGGGGAAUAUUGAACAAUGGGCGAAAGCCUGAUGCAGCCAUGCCGGGUGUAUGAAGAAGGUCUUAGGGUUGUAAAGCACUUUAAGGUGGGAGGCGUUACCAACAGAAUAAGCACCGGCUAACGUCGGGCCAGCAGCCGCGGUAAUUC